GUUGAUCAGUGGCUGUUCAGACCUUUCAGAGACACUGAACACACCAGCAGCACAAUGAUGAUGUCACUGACUCUACUGCUGACCACCCUGGGGCUCCUUGUUCACGGUUCAUCAGGAGAAAUCAUCCUGACUCAGACUCCUGGAUCUCAGUCUGUUGUUCCAGGACAGACUGUCUCCAUCAAAUGUAAAACCAGUACAAGUGUUAGCACCAGCUGGCUUCACUGGUACCUUCAGAAACCAGGAGAAGCUCCUAAACUCCUGAUAUAUUCAACUUCAAAUCGUCACUCUGGAAUUCCGAGUCGUUUUAGUGGAAGUGGAUCUGGUUCUGACUUCACUCUGACCAUCAGUGGAGUUCAGGCUGAAGAUUCAGGAGUUUAUUACUGUCAGCAGUGUAGCAGCUACCCGUACACGUUCGGUGGAGGAACCAGACUGGAUGUUGGAAGUGAUACUCGUCCCACCCUGACGGUGCUGCCCCCCUCCACAGAGGAGCUGCAGCAGGGGAAGGCCACACUCAUGUGUCUGGCCAACAAGGGCUUCCCCUCAGACUGGAGUCUGUCCUGGAAGGUGGACGGCAGCAGCAGCAGCAGCUAUGAGGACAGCAGGAGCCCCGGGGUGCUGCAGAAGGACGGCCACUACAGCUGGAGCAGCACCCUGAGGCUCUCUGCAGACCAGUGGAGGAAGGUGGGCUCUGUGUCCUGUGAGGCCACCCAGGGCUCCCAGUCUCCACUCUCAGAGAUACUGAGGAGAGACCAGUGUUCCCAGUACUGACCUGAUUUACUGGGACUCUCACGUGAUUUCUCUCUGUCACUGAUCUCUGACUCUUUAUUUCAUUUCUUCCAUUUUCUCUAAGCUUUUUUUGUAGUUAGUUUCUCUGUUCAUCUGUGUUUCUUCACAAUAAAGAAUUUUUUUGUCAAACAGA